rnacentral:rRNA from 1 species
GACGAACGCUGGCGGCGUGCUUAACACAUGCAAGUCGAACGGAAAGGCCCUUCUUGGGGGGUACGCGCGAGGCGCGCACGGGUGUGUAACGCGUGUGUAACCUGCCCUUGACUUGGGUAUAAUUUCGGGACACUGGGGAUAAUAGCAGAGAAGCUCUCGCUCCGCAGUGUGGGGGGUGAAGAGUUUGGGCGGUUGGGGAUGGACUCGCGGCUUCUCAGCUUGUUGGUGGGGUAGUGUCUUACCAAGGCUUUGACGGGUAGCGGGCCUGAGGGGGUGACCGGCCACAUUGGGACUGAGAUACGGCCCAGACUCCUACGGGAGGCAGCAGUGGGGAAUAUUGCACAAUGGGCGGAAGCCUGAUGCAGCAACGCCGCGUGCGGGAUGACGGCCUUCGGGUUGUAAACCGCUUUCGCCUGUGACGAAGCGUGAGUGACGGUAAUGGGUAAAGAAGCACCGGCUAACUACGUG